UACGAAGGGUGCAAGCGUUACUCGGAAUCACUGGGCGUAAAGCGUGCGUAGGCGGUUCGUUAAGUCUGCUGUGAAAGCCCUGGGCUCAACCUGGGAACUGCAGUGGAUACUGGCGGACUAGAGUGUGAUAGAGGAUGGUGGAAUUCCCGGUGUAGCGGUGAAAUGCGUAGAGAUCGGGAGGAACACCAGUGGCGAAGGCGGCCAUCGUGGAUCAACACUGACGCUGAGGCACGGAAAGCGUGGGGGAGCAAACAGG
rnacentral:rRNA from 1 species